rnacentral:rRNA from 1 species
AGUAGAGCGGCGCACGGGUGAGUAACGCGUGGAUUAUCUACCCAGAUAUUCGGGAUAACGGCGGGAAACUGCCGCUAAUACCGGAUACGCUCCAAUUUCGGUUGGGGGAAAGGCGGCCUCUGCUUGCAAGCUGUCGUAUCUGGAUGAGUCCGCGUCCCAUUAGCUUGUUGGUGGGGUAAUGGCCUACCAAGGCGACGAUGGGUAGCUGGUCUGAGAGGAUGAUCAGCCACACUGGAACUGAAACACGGUCCAGACUCCUACGGGAGGCAGCAGUGGGGAAUAUUGCGCAAUGGGGGAAACCCUGACGCAGCGACGCCGUGUGAGGGAAGAAGGCUUUCGGGUCGUAAACCUCUGUCGGGAGGGAAGAACCUUCCAGGUCUGAACAAGGCUUGGAACUGACGGUACCUCCAAAGGAAGCACCGGCUAACUCCGUGCCAGCAGNCGCGGUAAUACGGAGGGUGCAAGCGUUAAUCGGAAUCACUGGGCGUAAAGCUCGC